rnacentral:rRNA from 1 species
CCUACGGGUGGCAGCAGUGGGGAAUAUUGCACAAUGGGCGAAAGCCUGAUGCAGCAACGCCGCGUGAGCGAUGAAGGCCCUCGGGUCGUAAAGCUUUGUCCUCAAGGAAGAUAAUGACGGGACUUGAGGAGGAAGCCCCGGCUAACUACGUGAAGGCAGCGACGGUAAUACGGAGGGGGCUAGCGUUAUCCGGAAUUACUGGGCGGAAAGGGGGCGUAGGUGGUUUCUUAAGUCAGAGGUUAAAGGCUACGGCUCAACCGUAGUAAGCCUUUGACACUGGGAAACUUGAGUGCAGGAGAGGAGAGUGGAAUUCCAAGUGUAGCGGUGAAAUGCGUAGAUAUUAGGAGGAACACCAGUUGCGAAGGCGGCUCUCUGGACUGUAACUGACACUGAGGCACGAAAGUGUGGGGAGCAAACAGGAUUAGAUACCCCUGUAGUC